rnacentral:sRNA from 1 species
GCUGAGAUCACGCCACUGCACUCCAGCCUGGGCGACAAGAGUGUGAGACCCUGUCUCAAAAAAAAAGACUGGAAAAAAAUAACUGUUUCCAGAUAGUGUUUUUUUAUUGUAUUAUUUUGGUGGUGGGUCGUAAGUUUGAACUAAAUCAACAAGAUAAAGCAUUCUUUUAUUUUAUUGUCUGUUGACUUUUAAUCUUUCCAGAAGGUGUCUGCCCUGGGAUAUAGAAGUAAAAAUUUAUGUCGAAUGUGAUGAUAAUAUAAGCAAUUGAGCCUUGAAAAUGUGCUCAAAAUUCAAGAGGAAUAUUUCUUAAUUUCUCUUUUGUUUUAUUUUAGCAAAAAAUGGGAAAAAAACAGAAUGGAAAGAGUAAAAAAGUUGAAGAGGCAGAGCCUGAAGAAUUUGUCGUGGAAAAAGUACUAGAUCGACGUGUAGUGAAUGGGAAAGUGGAAUAUUUCCUGAAGUGGAAGGGAUUUACAGAUGCUGACAAUACUUGGGAACCUGAAGAAAAUUUAGAUUGUCCAGAAUUGAUUGAAGCGUUUCUUAACUCUCAGAAAGCUGGCAA